AUGUAUAUAUGCACAUAUAAAGGUUAUAUACGCACACACAUCCUCUCACACACAUGUACAUUCACACCCAUCCUGGUGUCUGAAGAGCUGCUUCUGUUCCCAUCCAAGGCUAACCACAUCUACUGGAUAUUGAUUGCUCUCCUCUGCCCUGUACCUCAUUCCUUCCUGGCCUGGUGGUCACAGCCCCAUAAUUGUUGUGAGAGAAUGAAGAAGAGCUGCCUCUUCAUCCAGAGGCCCUCCAUUCCACUGGCAUUCCUGAGCAGUGACGUUCUGGUGGAGUCACAAGGGAGAAGAUUCAGAGCGUCGGAGAGGAGGAUGUUCUCCUCUACUUUGGAGUCAAGAGGAGCAGCAGCUAUCCAGAUGGUUUGGAGAUGUUUUGAGAGAAGGCGAGGCAUUGUUAGAAGAAGUGGGAACGCAGAAAAAAAUGAACAGAGUGACCUUGAUGGUUUGGGGUGGCAUGUUGUCUCCAUCUCUUCUGGGAAGUGGUCUUUUUCUGUGGUGCAUGAUCCCAACGGGCAGGGUGAGGAUAAUCUACAAUUCUCCACUGAGACUUCAGGCUCUGGAUCAGUCUUGGAAAACAGAAGACACAAUGGUGCUGAACCAGGGACACUGUGUGAGCUAGACACAGCUCUAGAGAAAAGCAACACACUUCUUUGGUGAGUCUUUCCUAGAGCCUCCCAGAAAAACUAUUCUGGGAUGCAGAUCUCCAGGUACUGCAUUCCAGAACUGUUUUCCUCUCCUAAUCUCUGGUGACGACCAGAUUUUUCUUAUGCCCUGUGUAAGAAAAAUAAUGAUAAAAUGAUAGCUGACAUGUACAACACUGUGAUCAUGUGCCAGGCAGGGGGCUGAGGGGUGUAUGAGCAUUCUCCUGAGGGGCAUGGGAGAGGAGAACCUGUGCUGGACCCAGCCCUCCUGGAUUCAAAUCACCUCUUUGCUAUUUCCUGGCUGUGUGACCUUGGGCGAGUUACUUAAUUAACAGUGCCUGGCACAUAAUAGGUGCUACAGAACUGCUGAUGUUAUGAUCUCAUCUCAACCUCAACUUAUUCCCGCGAGGUAGGUAUGAUGAUCUCCAUCUUCCAUACAGGAGCCUACAAUGGAACACCAGGGUGGCUCAGCAGUUGAGCAUCUGCCUUUGGCUCAGAGCGUGAUCCCGGAGUCCUGGGAUCGAGUCUCACAUCGGGCUUCCUGCAUGGAGACUGCUUCUCCCUCUGCCUGUGUCUCUGCCUCUCUCUCUCUCUGUGUCUCCCUCUCAUGAAUGAAUGAAUGAAUAAAUAAACAAAUAUAUAAAAUUGUAUAGGAGCC
rnacentral:lncRNA from 12 species